rnacentral:tRNA from 1 species
UCUAUGGUAGUUUAUUAAAAACAUUGACCUGUGGAGCCAAAGAAAAAUACAAUUUCCAUAGAU